CCUACGGGUGGCAGCAGUGGGGAAUAUUGGACAAUGGGCGAAAGCCUGAUCCAGCCAUGCCGCGUGUGUGAAGAAGGCCUUCGGGUUGUAAAGCACUUUCAGUUGGGAAGAAAGCCUUGGGGCUAAUACCCUCGAGGAAGGACAUCACCCACAGAAGAAGCACCGGCUAACUCCGUGCCAGCAGCCGCGGUAAUACGGAGGGUGCGAGCGUUAAUCGGAAUUACUGGGCGUAAAGCGCGCGUAGGCGGUCUGAUAAGCCGGUUGUGAAAGCCCCGGGCUCAACCUGGGAACGGCAUCCGGAACUGUCAGGCUAGAGUGCAGGAGAGGAAGGUAGAAUUCCCGGUGUAGCGGUGAAAUGCGUAGAGAGCGGGAGGAAUACCAGUGGCGAAGGCGGCCUUCUGGACUGAAACUGACGCUGAGGUGCGAAAGCGUGGGUAGCAAACAGGAUUAGAUACCCCUGUAGUC
rnacentral:rRNA from 1 species